rnacentral:rRNA from 1 species
AUUAAUGUGAGAAUCAUUAACGCCGUAAACCCAAGGUUUCCUACGCGAUGCUCGUCAUCGUAGGGUUAGUCGGGUCCUAAGUCGAGUCCGAAAGGGGUAGACGAUGGCAAAUUGGUUAAUAUUCCAAUACCAACAUUAGUGUGCGAUGGAAGGACGCUUAGGGCUAAGGGGGCUAGCGGAUGGAAGUGCUAGUCUAAGGUCGUAGGAGGUUAUACAGGCAAAUCCGUAUAACAAUACUCCGAGAACUGAAAGGCUUUUUGAAGUCUUCGGAUGGAUAGAAGAACCCCUGAUGCCGUCGAGCCAAGAAAAGUUUCUAAGUUUAGCUAAUGUUGCCCGUACCGUAAACCGACACAGGUGGGUGGGAUGAGUAUUCUAAGGCGCGUGGAAGAACUCUCUUUAAGGAACUCUGCAAAAUAGCACCGUA